rnacentral:rRNA from 1 species
CCUACGGGAGGCAGCAGUGAGGAAUAUUGGUCAAUGGACGGAAGUCUGAACCAGCCAAGUCGCGUGAAGGAUGGCUGCCCUACGGGUUGUAAACUUCUUUUAUAAAGGAAUAAAGUGAGGCACGUGUGCCUUUUUGUAUGUACUUUAUGAAUAAGGAUCGGCUAACUCCGUGCCAGCAGCCGCGGUAAUACGGAGGAUCCGUGCGUUAUCCGGAUUUAUUGGGUUUAAAGGGAGCGUAGAUGGGUUGUUAAGUCAGUUGUGCAAGUUUGCGGCUCAACCGUAAAAUUGCAAUUGAUACUGGCAGUCUUGAGUACAGGUGAGGUAGGCGGAAUUCGUGGUGUAGCGGUGAAAUGCUUAGAUAUAACGAAGAACUCCGAUUGCGAAGGCAGCUUACUAAACUGUAACUGACAUUGAUGCGCGAAAGUGUGGGUAUCAAACAGGAUUAGAUACCCCAGUAGUC